rnacentral:pre_miRNA from 1 species
AAAGUACUCCCUCGGUCCCAAAAUUCUUGUCUUAGAUUUGUCUAGAUACGGAUGUAUCAAGUCACAUUUUAGUAUUAGAUACAUCCGUAUCUAGACAAAUCUAAGACAAGAAAUUUGGGACAGAGGGAGUAGUUG